AUUGAACGCUGGCGGCAUGCCUAACACAUGCAAGUCGAACGAAGUCUUCGGACUUAGUGGCGGACGGGUGAGUAACACGUGGGAACGUGCCUUUAGGUUCGGAAUAACUCAGGGAAACUUGUGCUAAUACCGAAUGUGCCCUUCGGGGGAAAGAUUUAUCGCCUUUAGAGCGGCCCGCGUCUGAUUAGCUAGUUGGUGAGGUAAAGGCUCACCAAGGCGACGAUCAGUAGCUGGUCUGAGAGGAUGAUCAGCCACAUUGGGACUGAGACACGGCCCAAACUCCUACGGGAGGCAGCAGUGGGGAAUCUUGCGCAAUGGGCGAAAGCCUGACGCAGCCAUGCCGCGUGAAUGAUGAAGGCCCUAGGGUUGUAAAGCUCUUUCAGUGGGGAAGAUAAUGACGGUACCCACAGAAGAAGCCCCGGCUAACUUCGUGCCAGCAGCCGCCGUAACAC
rnacentral:rRNA from 1 species